rnacentral:lncRNA from 1 species
UCUUUAGCAGAGCAGUCAGAUAAAAUAAUGACUUCAGAAACUGAGAUUCCUAAGGAAACGCACCAUGAUUACGAAGCAUGAAUGCACAGAUUUGCACACGGUGCAGCUGGAUAUCGACAACAGGAGAUUCCCAGAUUUGAGCCUUCAACCAGGCCUGGUAUUCAAAAAAACAUGAAAGAAAAAAGAUGGAUGGAUGGAAGGAAGGAAGGAAGGAAGGAAGGAAGGAAGGAAGGAAGGAAGGAAGGANNNNNNNNNNAAGGAAGGAAGGAAGGAAGGAAGGAAGGAAGGAAGGAAGGAAGGAAGGAAGGAAGGAAGGAAAAUGAUAGAAAGGAAGAAGGUUUUCAGUAUCUGAAAGUUGACUGGAAAGUGAGUAGGAACCUGUAAGAGGAAGAUACUGAGUCUUCAAACUGCUGGAUAUGGAUAAGGAAUAAUGAUAUCAAGACCUAGAAUGUGCCAUCUACAGAAAAGCCACAAAAGAGGGAAAUACAAAUCAUUUGAACAAAUUACUAUGAAAAACAGCAGUAUCUCCCCCUCCUGAUCUCAGAUGAAGACUGAUCACCUUCCUGGCUCAUGUGGAACAGCCAAAACUGAUUUGCAAGUCCUCUACAAGUUCUGGUCAGGUGGCAGAGCAGUGAAAUCCAAUCUGCAAGAUGAUCCACUGAUACGUUCUGUCUUAACACACCAGGAAUCUCUGAAGUGCAGAGAGUAUCCCAAAUACCCCAUGAGCUAUGAGCAACCAGCCCAAUCCAGGCAUGGAGGCUUCAUCCAGUGUUAGCUCCUGCAGCUUCCAGAGGAGUACUGUUCUGCUGAGGCUACAUCAACUGAACAUCCAAAUAAGAAUACAAGAAUAUUUUCCUUUCUA